rnacentral:rRNA from 1 species
UGUAUCUGAAAUCAAGCAGGAUCACCCGCUGAACUUAAGCAUAUCACUAAGCGGAGGRGAAGAAAUUAACUAAGAUUGCCUCAGUAACGGCGAGUGAAGCGGCAAAAGCCCAAACUGUAAAUCUUGUGCACUACGUGUACACGAAUUGUAAUCUAGAGAGAGUUCACUCAACGGGCGGGGGCGCAGAAGUGACCACGAACGGUCCGCCAGAGAGGGUGAAAGCCCCGUAUGUGGUGUCCCUGCUUAACGAGUGGGUUUUCGAAGAGUCGGGUUGUUUUGUAUUGCAGCCCUAAGUGGGAGAUAAACUUCUUCUAAGGCUAAAUAUUAAUAGGAAACCGAUAGCGAACAAGUACUGUGAAGGAAAGAUGAAAAGAACUUUGAAAAGAGAGUCAAAAGACUUGAAAUCGUUGAGAAGGAAGGGGUAGAAAUUUAUUCUUCGGUGCAUGCAGAGUUUAGUCGCCUAACCAUUGCGGGCUAAGGAUACGUCAAAGGUCCUGGUUUGUACCUGGGGAAGUGACUGGGUGAGUGUGCAUCGUGAGCCAAGAUGGGGUCGGACAGCCACAAAGGCUCUGUACAACCGGUUUCCUUCGGGAGGCAGUGUGCGGAUGUCGGUGGAGGUUCGGCCUGAGGAAGCUUCGGCGAUCUUGGCAAAAUGGUUUUUACCCACCCGUCUUGAAACACGGACCAAGGAGUCUAACAUGUAUGCAAGUGUGCUAGUGGAAAAACUAACACGCGUAAUGAAGGUGAUUGAUGCCAAGCGCAAGCAGCAGCAUCGACCGACCAUGAUCCUCUGGUGAAAGGUUUGAGUACGAGCAUAAAUGUUAGGACCCGAAAGAUGGUGAACUAUGCCUGAGUAGGGUGAAGCCAGGGGAAACUCUGGUGGAGGCUCGUAGCGGUUCUGACGUGCAAAUCGAUCGUCGAACUUGGGUAUAGGGGCGAAAGACUAAUCGAACCAUCUAGUAGCUGGUUCCCUCCGAAGUUUCCCUCAGGAUAGCUGGGACAAAUACGCAGUUUUAUUAGGUAAAGCGAAUGAUUAGAGGCCUCGGGGAUGCAAUGUCCUCGACCUAUUCUCAAACUUUAAAUUGGUAAGAACCCUGGCCUUUCUUAAUUGAGGCAUGGGGGCUCAAUGCGUGUCCCAAGUGGGCCAUUUUUGGUAAGCAGAACUGGCGAUGAGGGAUGCUCCUAACGUCGAGUUAAGGUGCCCAACUGCACGCUCAUCAGAUACUACAAAGGGUGUUGGUUCAUCCAGACAGCAGGACGGUGGCCAUGGAAGUCGGAACCCGCUAAGGAGUGUGUAACAACUCACCUGCCGAAUGGACUAGCCCCGAAAAUGGAUGGCGCUAAAGCGUGCGACCGAUACUCGACCAUU